rnacentral:rRNA from 1 species
UACGUAGGGCGCAAGCGUUAUCCGGAAUUACUGGGCGUAAAGGGCGCGUAGGCGGUGUGUCAAGUCAGGCGUGAAAGCCCCGGGCUCAACCUGGGAACAGCGCUUGAGACUGGCACGCUCGAGUUCGGGAGAGGAUGGUGGAAUUCCCAGUGUAGAGGUGAAAUUCGUAGAUAUUGGGAAGAACACCGAUGGCGAAGGCAGCCAUCUGGACCGACACUGACGCUGAGGCGCGAAAGCGUGGGGAGCAAACAGG